CCCAUAUUCAGGCUCCACGGAGCCACAAAUAAUUAGGGGAGUGGUAUUACGAGAGUCGUAAAUGAAAUACAUCUAUGCAACCUGGAGUAAAAUGCAAUAAAAGCCACGCAUACCUCCCAGUUCCCGACUAUCACAUACAACUUAAACACAAGAAUAUGCUAUGCUAUGUGAUUGCGAAGGUGCGCUUCUGCUUUUGUAUACCCUAAACAACUAUUAG